GACUCAUUCUAAAAGUAAUAAGACAGUAGUAGUAUUGAAUAUUCUUACAGUAUGAAAGGUAUGAAAAUGCAGUGAUGUUGUGCAUGAUGUUAAGACAUUUUUCACCGUAGACUUGAAAAAGCACUGAAGUAGACUGAAGUACUGUGAAAUGGGGAAUUUCUCUGUGUGCCAAGAUUAAUCAAGGAGUGGGUUGGUUGUUUGAGUUAUGGGCGUGUACAAGGUACUCCCUGCACCAAUGGUUCAAAACCAAGCCAGAGUUAGGCUGAUGCUUUCUGCAUUCAUGCAGCAUUAGAGUAAUAAAUGAUAGUGUGGGAUUGCAGCUGUAAGAGAAUCUUGUACUUUCUGGUUUUCCUGGUCAUUUAAUGAAGCAUUUGAAGGUCUUGAAGGCUCCGGAAUUAUGGCAUUUAUUUAGCACCAUCUAUCAACACCAAAGACUACUGAAUCUAUAUAGAGAUUGCAAUUCAAAUUGCUUUCAUGUGAAAAUUAAUCACAACAUUUUAGCUUCCUGGUAUUUCAGACUGCUUGUCUUUGAGGCCAGAUCAUGCUGAAUGAUGUCAGUCAUCUUCACAUCAAAAAAUAUGUUGGGUAAAACUGAUAGAGUGUACACAAGCUUCUAAUUGUUAUCAGGUCUGAAACUGAGACCUCAUAUAAAGAAAUUCGUUUCAUUUAGUAUUUGUUUGCUCCCUGUAAUGAAAGUCAGAAUUGAGAUGUUGCCAUGGAUGUUUUAUAUAAUAAGGACUCUGGAUUUUCAAUCUGUGAAUGUAGUGGUUUUAAUAUGUGCUGAACUGAAGCAAAAUUCAAAUUGAGCAAUGUAAAUAUUCAUUAGCUAUGAUGAAGUUAAAGCUGUGUUUUAAAAACAGUUUGUUUCAUUCCUGAAGGAACAAAUGGGCUGGAGUGCUUCUGCUAGCAGCUCUUGGAUUUGUGUUCCAUCCCUCAGUGUGACAGCGUGUGCAGAGGGGCUGCACAAGGACAGUAGCUCUGCUUUCACUGAAGUUACCUAAGAAAUUUAGCAGAGGGGUAAAAUUAUGCAUAUCAGCCUUCAUCUCUAUUGACAGUUUACACAUUAAACUCACUGGAGACAGCAAAGAGUUUUAGAGAAAUGUAAAUUCUCUGUUGAAAAGACUGCAACCAAUUGGUGAGUAAUUACAGUUGAUAAUUCCAUUACCUCCUAGG